AUGCGCCUUCACUGUGAUAGCGGUCAACAAGAAAACAAGAGAAUAAUCCCUAGAGAUCUGGUAUGUUGUUUGACACUUCGGCGAUUGCUUCUUCCUCGAUUUCCGCUUCUUUGUGUUUCUAUGCUUGAGUGUCUCGAAUCGUUAUUGUUUGCGUUACAGGAAGAUGAUGACGAUGAGUAUUGUGAUGCAGAUCGAAAUUGCCAAAACGGUGAAAUUGUUGCUGAUGUAGCAGAGAAGAUGCAAGCUAAUGAUGAUUGA